rnacentral:rRNA from 1 species
CACGGGUGAGUAACACGUAUGCAAUCCACCUGUAACAGGGGAUAACCCGGAGAAAUCCGACUAAUACCCAUAAUAUGGGCGCUCCGCAUGGAGAGUCCAUUAAAGAGAGCAAUCUUGGUUACAGACGAGCAUGCGCUCCAUUAGCCAGUUGGCGGGGUAACGGCCCACCAAGGCGACGAUGGAUAGGGGUUCUGAGAGGAAGGUCCCCCACAUUGGAACUGAGACACGGUCCAA